ACGACCUUACUUGAACAUGAUCUGUUCUAUAGGAUCGUACUACUGUGUCCUUGAUUUUUAAGAAGACGAAAACAUAAAUCUGGAAGAUGAAUUAUGAUCGUGUGAUCAAGGCAUGAUUAACGGUUCUGUGGCGAUAUCCUACGGGAAUCAUCACAACAUACUGUAGAUGAUCGUUCUCAGCUAGCACAGUCUAAUUGGGUUGGUCACACGGUUGUCUGACAGAUU